AUGGACAGGUGGGUCCGAGCUGAGGACACAGGGAGGAUGCUGGCUCAGCACGAGGAGGACGAGGAUCCCCAGGUGUGUGGGGAGAGACAAAAUAUGCCCCAGCUGCCCCAGCUGCCCCAGCUGCCCCAGCUGCCCCAGAUGUCCAGAAAAAACAUGCCCCAGCUGCCCCAGAUGUCCAGCUGCCCCGGUAACUCCCUGUCUGUUCUCUCUGCAGAAAAAACAUGCCCCAGCUGCCCCAGCUGCCCCAGAUGUCCAGCCCCUGAGCUGCUCAGAAAACCGAGAGUCUUCAGCUUCCCCCCAAAACCCAAGGACACCCUCACCAUCACCCGAAUGCCUGAGGUCACCUGCAUGGUGGUGGACCUGAACAAGGAAGACACCGAUGUUGAAUUCUCCUGGUACGUGGAUGGAGUACAGGUGCACACGGCCAAGACGAAGCCAAGGGAGGAGCAGUUCAACAGCACAUACCGCAUGGUCAGCGCCCUGCCCAUCCAGCACCAGGACUGGCUUCAGGGAAAGGAGUUCAAGUGCGAGGUUGACAAGAAAGGCGUCACAGCCCCCAUCGUGAGGACCAUCUCCAAGGCCAAAGGGCAGCCCCGGGAGCCGCAGGUGUACGUUCUGGCCCCACCCUGGGAAGAGCUGGCCAGUAGCACAGUCAGCUUAACCUGCAUGGUCACCGGCUUCUAUCCGAGCGACAUCGACGUGGAGUGGCAGAGUAACGCGGAGCCCGUGUCAGAGGGCAAGUACAGCACGACCCCACCCCAGCUGGACGCCGACGGCUCCUUCUUCCUGUACAGCAGGAUCAGUGUGGACAAGGACAGCUGGGAGCAGGGAGACGUCUACACGUGUGUCGUGAUGCACGAGACUCUACCCAGUCACCUCACGCAGAAGUCCAUCUCCAGAUCUCCGGAACUGCUCCUGGAGGAGGAGAGCUGUGCCGACGCCCAGGACGGGGAGCUGGACGGGCUGUGGACCACCAUCUCCAUCUUCAUCAUGCUCUUCCUGCUCAGCGUGUGCUACGGCGCCACCAUGACCCUCUUCAAGGUGAAGUGGAUCGUCUCGUCGGUGGUGGAGCUGAAGCGCACGGUCAUCCCCGACUACAGAAACGUGAUCGGGCAGGGAGCCUAG